rnacentral:rRNA from 1 species
UACGUAGGCAGCAAGCGUUGUUCGGAAUUACUGGGCGUAAAGAGUGUGUAGGCGGUGUUCUAAGUUUGUCGUGAAAUCUCCCGGCUUAACUGGGAGGGUGCGGCGAAAACUGGAAUGCUAGAGGAUGGGAGAGGUAAGCGGAAUUCCUGGCGUAGCGGUGAAAUGCGUAGAUAUCAGGAGGAACACCUGUGGUGUAGACAGCUUACUGGACCAUUUCUGACGCUGAGACACGAAAGCGUGGGUAGCAAACAGG